UGUGGUCUGAGACAUGAAGAGAAGGAAUGCCCCCCUCCCCUCCAUCCUCUGAAGAAGCAUCCCUGAUUAGUGGGCAAGUCAGUCUGAAGGAUCAGAGGAGGAUCAAACAAAACAUCUACAAAACCUCACCAGACUAGAAGGGCAGCCAAUGAGUCAGUCAUAUGGGAAGUUGUUGGGACGCAGUGUUUCUGGAGAAAAGAAGGAUCUUUCAUGGAUUCUUGACCUACUUCUCUGAGAGUAAACCCAGAGACUUUCCAAUGAUCAGAGCUUCAUUUUUUCCUCCAGCAAACUGGAAAAAGACAACAGAACAUAUUGCUUCACACUCCCUAUCUGAAAAGAUACAUCAGGAAGAGAUAAAAUUAAGCAUCAAGCUGUGACAUCUAAAUGACAUUUUACAGAGAGAACGUCUUGAAUAGUAUGGAAAGACUCACAAAGUUU